UACGUAGGGGGCGAGCGUUGUCCGGAAUCAUUGGGCGUAAAGAGCUCGUAGGCGGUUCAGCAAGUCGGCUGUGAAAGUCCGAGGCUCAACCUCGGAACUGCAGUCGAUACUGCUGUGACUCGAGUCCGGAAGAGGAGAAUGGAAUUCCCGGUGUAGCGGUGAAAUGCGCAGAUAUCGGGAGGAACACCAGUAGCGAAGGCGGUUCUCUGGGCCGGUACUGACGCUGAGGAGCGAAAGCGUGGGGAGCAAACAGGAUUAGAAACCCUAGUAGUCC
rnacentral:rRNA from 1 species